rnacentral:rRNA from 1 species
GAUGAACGCUGGCGGCGUGCCUAAUACAUGCAAGUAGAACGGUGAGGCUUGGUGCUUGCACCGAGCGGAUGAGUUGAGAACGGGUGAGUAACGCGUAGGUAACCUGCCUCUUAGCGGGGGAUAACUAGUGGAAACGAUAGAUAAUAGCGCAUAAGCGCCGGUAGCGCGUGAUGGUGAUGUGAAAGGUGCAAGUGCAUGACGGAGUGAUGGAUCUUCGUUGUAUUAGCUAGGUGGUGAGGUAACGGCUCACCAAGGGGACGUUACAUAGCCGACCUGAGAGGGUGAUCCGCCGCGCUGGGACUGUGACACGGCCCAUUCGCCUACGGGAGGCAGCCGUAGGGCAUCUUCGGCAAUGGGGGCAAACCUGACCGAGCAACGCCGCGUGAGGGAAGAAGGUUGUCGGAUCGUAAAGCUCGGUUGUAAGAGAAUAACGAGUGUGCGAGUGGAAAGUUCACACUGUGACGGUAACUGACCAGAAAGGGACGGCUAACUACGUG